GACGAACGCUGGCGGCGUGCUUAACACAUGCAAGUCGAACGGUGAAAGCGGAGCUUGCUCCGCUGGAUCAGUGGCGAACGGGUGAGUAACACGUGGGCAACCUGCCCCUCACUUCGGGAUAACUCCGGGAAACCGGGGCUAAUACCGGAUAUGACCUCCUUGGGCAUCCUUGGAGGUGGAAAGUUUUUCGGUGAGGGAUGGGCCCGCGGCCUAUCAGCUUGUUGGUGAGUUAGUGGCUCACCAAGGCGACUACGGGUAGGCGGCCUGAGAGGGCGACCGGCCACACUGGGACUGAGACACGGCCCAGACUCCUACGGGGGGGAGCAGUGGUGAAUAUGGCGCAAUGGGCGAAAGCCUGACGCAGGAACGCCGCGUGCGGGAUGACGGCCUUCGGGGUGUAAACCGCUUUCAGCAGGGAAGAAGCCGCAAGGUGACGGUACCUGCAGAAGAAGCACCGGCUAACUACGUGCCAGCCGCCGCGGUAA
rnacentral:rRNA from 1 species